AAGGAUCAUUGUCGUGACCCUGACCAAAACAGACCGCGCACGCGUCAUCCAAUCCGUCGGCGACGGCACCGUCCGUCGCUCGGCCAAUGCCUCGACCACCUCCCCUCCUCGGAGCGGGUGGGGGCUCGGGGUAAAAGAACCCACGGCGCCGAAGGCGUCAAGGAACACUGUGCCUAACCCGGGGGCAUGUCUAGCUUGCUAGCCGUCCCUCGUGUUGCAAAGCUAUUUAAUCCACACGACUCUCGGCAACGGAUAUCUCGGCUCUCGCAUCGAUGAAGAACGUAGCGAAAUGCGAUACCUGGUGUGAAUUGCAGAAUCCCGCGAACCAUCGAGUCUUUGAACGCAAGUUGCGCCCGAGGCCACUCGGCCGAGGGCACGCCUGCCUGGGCGUCACGCCAAAACACGCUCCCAACCACCCUCAACGGGAUUCGGGAUGCGGCAUCUGGUCCCUCGUCUCUCAAGGGACGGUGGACCGAAGAUUGGGCUGCCGGCGUACCGCGCCGGACACAGCGCAUGGUGGGCGUCCUCGCUUUAUCAAUGCAGUGCAUCCGGCGCGCAGCUGGCAUUAUGGCCUUUGAACGACCCAACAAACGAAGCGCACGUCGCUUCGACCGCGACCCCAGGUCAGGCGGGACUACCCGCUGAGUUUAA
rnacentral:rRNA from 1 species